ACAAGUCUCCUGGAAUGGAGCGUCAUAGAGGGUGAGAAUCCCGUCUUUGACACGGACUGCCAGGACUUUGUGAUGCGCUCUCAAAGAGUCGAGUUGUUUGGGAAUGCAGCUCUAAAUGGGUGGUAAAUUCCAUCUAAAGCUAAAUAUUGGCGAGAGACCGAUAGCGAACAAGUACCGUGAGGGAAAGAUGAAAAGAACUUUGGAAAGAGAGUUAAACAGUACGUGAAAUUGUUGAAAGGGAAACGCUUGAAGUCAGUCAUGUUGGCCAGGGAUCAACCUUGCUCUUCUGCUUGGUGUACUUUCUGGUUGAUGGGUCAGCAUCAAUUUUGACCAGUGGAAAAAGGUCAAGGGAAUGUGGCAUCUUUGGAUGUGUUAUAGCCCUUGGUUGCAUACAUUGGUUGGGAUUGAGGAACUCAGCAUGCCGCAAGGCCGGGUAAUUUUUACCACGUUCAUGCUUAGGAUGCUGGCAUAAUGGCUUUAAUCGACCCGUCUUGAAACACGGACCAAGGAGUCUAACAUGCCUGCAAGUGUUUGGGUGGAAAACCCAAGCGCGCAAUGAAAGUGAAAGUUGGGAUCCCUGUCGUAGGGAGCACCGACGCCCGGACCAGAUCUUUUGUGACGGUUCCGCGGUAGAGCAUGUAUGUUGGGACCCGAAAGAUGGUGAACUAUGCCUGAAUAGGGUGAAGCCAGAGGAAACUCUGG
rnacentral:rRNA from 1 species